rnacentral:misc_RNA from 1 species
GAUGAAGAACGCAGCGAAAUGCGAUAAGUAAUGUGAAUUGCAGAAUUCAGUGAAUCAUCGAAUCUUUGAACGCACAUUGCGCCCUUUGGUAUUCCUUAGGGCAUGCCUGUUCGAGCGUCAUUUAAACCUUCAAGCUAAGCUUGGUGUUGGGUGACUGUCCGCUUCACGGCGGACUCGCCUCAAAAUUAUUGGCGGCCGGUACAUUGGCUUCGAGCGCAGCAGAAACGCGAACUCGGGCCCGUCGUAUUGGCUCCCAGAAGCUAUCUUCACAAUUUUGACCUCGGAUCAGGUAGGGAUACCCGCUGAACUUAAGCAUAUCAAUAAGCGGAGGA